AAAUGAAAGUAAAAGCAGAGGGAGAUCGCAGUCCGUUUACUCUUUAGGUUUAGCCGUAAAAGUGAGCUCAGCAGCUGGAUAUAUAGGGCAGGAAUAUUUAAUGACUCUGAAUGCUUCGGAACCUGACCUGCAGUCUAACGACGGUGCUGGUCCAACUGUGUGUUGAAUGGCAGGCAGGCAGAUGAAAUGAGCGAAGCUGAACAAGUUCUGCACAUGAUUUUGAGAAAUACUGCUGCAUCCUUUUGUUACUGAUCAUGAGACGCUUGUGGUAAACCUACAACUGACACAUGAAACUAAGUUUGGGGAAGAAGGAAAGUGCGUCGUUAGGAAAUUCCUUUGUAUGACAUGUAAUAAUUCUCAUGCCCAAGGGACUAAUAAUGAAUAAUGGAUGUGAACAUAACUUGAUUAAAGUUCACAGAAGUACCUUUGUGUCUUAACACUUGACUGUAAAGCUCAGUGAAAAAAUUAA